rnacentral:rRNA from 1 species
GAUGAACGCUGGCGGCGUGCCUAAUACAUGCAAGUCGAGCGAACAGACGAGGAGCUUGCUCCUCUGACGUUAGCGGCGGACGGGUGAGUAACACGUGGAUAACCUACCUAUAAGACUGGGAUAACUUCGGGAAACCGGAGCUAAUACCGGAUAAUAUAUUGAACCGCAUGGUUCAAUAGUGAAAGACGGCUUUGCUGUCUCUUAUAGCUGGAUCCGCGCCGCUUUAGCUAGUUGGUAAGUUAACGGCUUACCAAGGCAACGAUGCGUGGCCGACCUGAGAGGGGGAUCGGCCACACUGGAACGGGGACACGGUCAAGACUCCUGCGGGAGGCAGCAGUAGGGAAUCUUCCGCAGUGGGCGAGAGCCUGACGGAGCAACGCCGCGUGAGUGAUGAAGGUCUUCGGAUCGUAAAGCUCUGUUAUUAGGGAAGAACAAAUGUGUAAGUAACUAUGCACGUCUUGACGGUACCUAAUCAGAAAGCCACGGCUAACUACGUG